AUUGAACGCUGGCGGCAUGCCUUACACAUGCAAGUCGAACGGCAGCACGGGAGCAAUCCUGGUGGCGAGUGGCGAACGGGUGAGUAAUAUAUCGGAACGUGCCCAGUCUGGGGGAUAACGUAGCGAAAGCUACGCUAAUACCGCAUACGAUCUAUGGAUGAAAGCGGGGGAUCGCAAGACCUCGCGCGAUUGGAGCGGCCGAUAUCAGAUUAGGUAGUUGGUGAGGUAAAGGCUCACCAAGCCGACGAUCUGUAGCUGGUCUGAGAGGACGACCAGCCACACUGGGACUGAGACACGGCCCAGACUCCUACGGGAGGCAGCAGUGGGGAAUAUUGGACAAUGGGCGAAAGCCUGAUCCAGCCAUGCCGCGUGUGUGAAGAAGGUCUUCGGAUUGUAAAGGCUCUUUUGUCAGGGAAGAAACGGUGAGGGCUAAUAUCCUUUGCUAAUGACGGUACGUAAG
rnacentral:rRNA from 1 species